AGAGUUUGAUCCUGGCUCAGAAUCAACGCUGGCGGCGUGCCUAACACAUGCAAGUCGAACGAGAAAGUGGAGCAAUCCAUGAGUAAAGUGGCGCACGGGUGAGUAACACGUGACUAACCUACCCUUGAGUGGGGGAUAACCUAGGGAAACCUGGGCUAAUACCGCAUAAUACCUUCGGGUCAAAGGAGCAAUUCGCUUAAGGAGGGGGUCGCGGCCGAUUAGUUAGUUGGCGGGGUAAUGGCCCACCAAGACUGUGAUCGGUAUCCGGCCUGAGAGGGCGCACGGACACACUGGAACUGAAACACGGUCCAGACUCCUACGGGAGGCAGCAGUGGGGAAUUUUGCGCAAUGGGGGAAACCCUGACGCAGCAACGCCGCGUGGAGGAUGAAGCCCCUUGGGGCGUAAACUCCUUUCGAUCGGGACGAUUAUGACGGUACCGGAAGAAGAAGCCCCGGCUAACUUCGUGCCAGCAGCCGCGGUAAUACGAGGGGGGCGAGCGUUGUUCGGAAUUAUUGGGCGUAAAGGGUGCGUAGGCGGUUCAGUAAGUCUUGUGUGAAAUCUUCGGGCUCAACUCGAAGUCUGCAUGAGAAACUGCUGGGCUUGAGUAUGGGAGAGGUGAGUGGAAUUCCUGGUGUAGCGGUGAAAUGCGUAGAUAUCGGGAGGAACACCUGUGGCGAA
rnacentral:rRNA from 1 species